AUUGAACGCUGGCGGCAGGCCUAACACAUGCAAGUCGAGCGGAUGAAGGGAGCUUGCUCCUGGAUUCAGCGGCGGACGGGUGAGUAAUGCCUAGGAAUCUGCCUGGUAGUGGGGGAUAACGUCCGGAAACGGGCGCUAAUACCGCAUACGUUCUGAGGGAGAAAAUGGGGGAUCUUCGGACCUCACGCUAUCAGAUGAGCCUAGGUCGGAUUAGCUAGUUGGUGGGGUAAAGGCCUACCAAGGCGACGAUCCGUAACUGGUCUGAGAGGAUGAUCAGUCACACUGGAACUGAGACACGGUCCAGACUCCUACGGGAGGCAGCAGUGGAGAAUAUUGGACAAUGGGCGAAAGCCUGAUCCAGCCAUGCCGCGUGUGUGAAGAAGGUCUUCGGAUUGUAAAGCACUUUAAGUUGGGAGGAAGGGCAGUAAGUUAAUACCUUGCUGUUUUGACGUUACCAACAGAAUAAGCACCGGCUAACUUCGUG
rnacentral:rRNA from 1 species